rnacentral:rRNA from 1 species
AGUGAACGCUGGCGGUAGGCCUAACACAUGCAAGUCGAACGGCAGCACAGUAAGAGCUUGCUCUUACGGGUGGCGAGUGGCGGACGGGUGAGGAAUACAUCGGAAUCUACUUUUUCGUGGGGGAUAACGUAGGGAAACUUACGCUAAUACCGCAUACGACCUACGGGUGAAAGCAGGGGAUCUUCGGACCUUGCGCGAGUGAAUGAGCCGAUGUCGGAUUAGCUAGUUGGCGGGGUAAAGGCCCACCAAGGCGACGAUCCGGAGCCGGUCUGAGAGGAUGACCGGCCGCAUGGGGGCUGAGAUACCGCCCAGACGGCUGCGGGAGGCAGCAGUGGGGAAUCUGGCACAAUGGGCGGAAGACUGAGGCAGAAACGCCGCGUGCGUGAUGACGGACUUCGGGUUGUAAACCGCGUCCGCCUGUGACGAAGCGGGAGUGACGGUAAUGGGUAAAGAAACACCGGCGAACUACGU